ensembl:lncRNA
AUUUAUAACUAGUUGAUCAGAAGCAUCUGUGACAACCUGGGGCUUAAGACUAGCAUUUGAAGUGGGGCAGUUGUGUGGAAUUGAGUCGUUAACUCGUGGGCUCUGAUUCUAAUUCCAGGUGGUGGUGGUUGUUCAGCUGCCAAGUCAUGUCCAACUCUUUGCGACCCCAUGGACUGCAGCACGCCAGGCCUCCCUGUCCCUCACUAUCUUCCGGAGUUUACCCAAGUUCAUGUCCACUGAAUUGGUUAUGCCAUCCAACCAUCUCAUCCUCUGUUGCCCUCUUCUCCUUCUGCCUUCAAUCUUGCCCAGCAUCAGGAUCUUUUCCAAUAAGUUAGAUAUUCACAUCAAGUGGCCAAAUUAUUGGAGCUUCAGCUUCAAUUCCAGGUAGAUUUUUACCACGGAGUCACCCAGGAAGCCCUGCUAUGGUGCUCAAUGAUUGCCAAGUCAGCACAUCGUAGCAUUUGGGAGCUUAGAUCCCUGACCAGGGUCGAACUCACUCCCCCACAUUGGAAGCACGGAAUCUUCAUUACUGGAUGGCCAGGGAAGUCCCAUGGACUGCUGUUCUUAAGCAAGUCAUGUCAGGAUUGCCCUUGGAAAUGAGGUCAUAUAUAUAUAUAUA